rnacentral:hammerhead_ribozyme from 1 species
GGAUGCUGAGGAGUCCCACAAUAGGACGAAACGGCCAUCCAGUGU